AACGAACGCUGGCGGCAGGCUUAACACAUGCAAGUCGAGCGCAUCCUUCGGGGUGAGCGGCAGACGGGUGAGUAACGCGUGGGAACGUACCCUUUCCUACGGAAUAGCUCCGGGAAACUGGAAUUAAUACCGUAAACGCCCUUAGGGGGAAAGAUUAAUCGGGGAAGGAUCGGCCCGCGUUGGAUUAGCUAGUUGGUGGGGUAAAGGCCUCCCAAGGCGACGAUCCAUAGCUGGUCUGAGAGGAUGAUCAGCCACAUUGGGACUGAGACACGGCCCAAACUCCUACGGGAGGGAGCAGUGGGGAAUAUUGGACAAUGGGCGCAAGCCUGAUCCAGCCAUGCCGCGUGAGUGAUGAAGGCCUUAGGGUUGUAAAGCUCUUUCAGUAGGGAAGAUAAUGACGGUACCUACAGAAGAAGCCCCGGCUAACUUCGUGCCAGCCGCCGCUGUAA
rnacentral:rRNA from 1 species